rnacentral:rRNA from 1 species
CAACUUUUACAACGGAUCUCUUGGCUCUC